UCUUGAGCAAAAAGUUUUACAAGAGGAGGAAUAUGGUCCUUUCCUCUAUGUGGAAUAAUGAGAAUGAACCUCUCAUCCUUGUACAAAAAAUGUCCUAUGCUUUGGUUACAUAAGAUAAUCCUAUCUAUAACAAGAUAGUCAUGAUAGAUAUUUUGAGUAGCUUGUCCUCGAUGGAUAACAACACAUAUAUAGAGUAGGCUCCAGCAGAUCAUGUUAAGAAAUUGUCCUUUUCUCACUCUGAUUCUGAUAUUCGGAAGACCAUCUUGAUCAUUCUUCAGUGCAACUUUAACUUGUCUCGGCAAACAACAGGCUGAAGUGAAGAAAGCUUCAUG
rnacentral:lncRNA from 1 species